rnacentral:rRNA from 1 species
UACGUAGGUCCCGAGCGUUGUCCGGAUUUAUUGGGCGUAAAGCGAGCGCAGGUGGUUUAUUAAGUCUGGUGUAAAAGGCAGUGGCUCAACCAUUGUAUGCAUUGGAAACUGGUAGACUUGAGUGCAGGAGUGGAGAGCGGAAUUCCAUGUGUAGCGGUGAAAUGCGUAGAUAUAUGGAGGAACACCGGUGGCGAAAGCGGCUCUCUGGCCUGUAACUGACACUGAGGCUCGAAAGCGUGGGGAGCAAACAGG